GAGAAGGCCAAAUUUGUGAGAGCCCUCCUGUAGGAGGAAGGAAUCUUGGUCCCAGCAUUCUGCCAGUGCAAGGAGGUGGCAGCUAAAAACUUCUAAAGAUCCUGAGAAGAAAAGGCCCCAGACUGCUGGAGUUCAAAGUCCUGGCUGCAGUCUCCCAGGAGAGGUGGGCCCUCGCUUAUCACAGUUGAGGCCUGCCCCAAGGCCUCAGGUGCGAGGCCUCGCGCUAAGGCCACAGAAGCGGAGCCCAGAACCAAGGUCACCUCCGAAGCUGAUGGAGCCCUUUUGUAACCGCUGGUCAUCACUCACAAGCUUCCUGACUCCCAGUCAAGCAGCGAUGCCCGCUCCAGUAAACGCCCCUAUUGUGCCCCAACUGGUCGCCUAAUGCCAACCGUCCAGCGGGAAUUUUCUUUGUCUUCAGGCUCUAAAAACUGGCUAUUAACCCAUGAAAACUGUUGACUCCCCCUGGUCUGUCAGGCGUUAUUGGCCCACUGUGCCUGCACUGCCCACUUUAUCUCUCUGCUCUUGGCUCUUCAUAAACUCACUCCCUUCUGAAAUGCUCUGUGUCUGGAAAUUCUGUUCCAGCUUGCUCUUGGACUGCCUCAACACCUAUCUCUGGCCUCUGGGCCUCAGUUCCUUCAGGUGAAGGUGAAGGGUGAGGCCCUGGGGGUUCUGUAAAGACAUGAGAGGGAGUGGCAGGGAAGCUAGGAAGGGGGGGUCUCUGGGAAUCAGCCCCACAUCACCUGCUCACCUGGCAAACCUCGGCCCAUCCAUUAAGCCACCAUCCAGGCACCGUCUCCUCCUGGAAGCCUUCCAGACCUGUCCUAGACCUGCCUAAAGGCCUCCUCCGGGUGGUCACAGAUUACAAGCUAUCUCCUAUCUCCUCCUAUCACAAGCUAUCAAAGAAGUACCUUUGUAAUAGGAGAUAUUAUAGGAGAUACUACAAAGGUACACACCUUUGUAAUUGUCUACACGCUUAUUUACCUGUCAUCAAAGAAUAAGUAAGUGAAGUCGCUCAGUGGUGUCCAACUCUUUGCGACCCCAUGGACUGUAGCCUACCAGGCUCCUCUGUCCAUGCGAUUUUCCAG
ensembl:lncRNA